CUCCAGCAGUUUCCCGUGGCCGUGGUCGGUGAUCUUGAGCACGAACCUCCCGUCUACCACGCAGUUCCGCGACUUAAGCCGCCCGUGAGCCACGCCGCGGUGGUGCAGGUACCUCAUUCCCUUGGAGGAGGCGGGAUGCAAAAAGAAAAUGUCUGUCUCUCUGGGAUUCUCAGUCUCUCCCCUGGCUCAAGAAAAAUCAUGAAAUUUGGAGGAGUUGACAGAAGGGAAUGUUUGAUGGUCCUUACUUCUGGCGUGGUUCUCCACUGACUGUUCACAGUUGGCGGUGGAGGUGGAGGCUAAUGGUGUUAGAAACUUUGUACAGAUUUAUUUGCUUUCUCCAUCCGGCCCUCUCCUCCCAUGGGGUUCCGCAGCGAAGGGCUUGGUAUCUGGGCUGUCAGCCCUCUGGAUUCUGGGAGAGCACUGAUAAACUCAGUUUUUCUGCAGAGACCAGAUCAGCCAUCAGGGGGCGCCCCGAGGACAAGACGAGGAUCGGCCUGGGCUCCAGUUGCAUUUAGACUUAAGGGCAUCUGGGACUAAUCUGCCUACUGCUUUGUGGAGGACAGGGUGGUAUAGGGUCACUCUCGCCCACCUCCCCUCCUCUGACCACAGUGGGUGGGCUUCAGACUGGUCUGGUACUGCAGGUUCCGGAAGUAGGGGUUGGGAUGGGUGACUGGAAUUUACAAGGUGCUGCGCCCUUUCUUCUCUGGCUUCUGCACCAGCCUCCGCAACCUUCUUCCCAUGACUUGGUGAAGGAAGGCCAGUGCGAUGGCUCCAUCACUAAGCAAGCAACAGUGCUGCUCAGAAACCCUGCUGCCUGGGGUACUUGGACCCCACUCCCAGACCCGCUUCUCUGCUGGGAAGACAUUUCCACCUUCUUCCCGGGAGUCCCUCAGUUUUCGGCGGACAUAACAUCCUUGUUUGUAUGUGGUGCUGAGGAUCGAAC